rfam:Trichomalopsis sarcophagae strain Alberta scaffold8126, whole genome shotgun sequence.
CAAUCGGCCCUUUUCAGGGCCACCAAAUUAUUUUUACGUAGAGCAA